AGGUCUAACAAACAAGACUGGUUUUUUUUUAACCACGGAAAAAUCUGCAGGGGACAACAAAUGUGUGUGCUGAAACAGUAAAUACGGCCGCACUAAGACGUUUAAGGACCUACUCUGAGCUAAAAGAGUCUGAGAUACAGGAGAUCAUACAAAAAAUAAGUUCCAGCUCUCCAAGAGAAGUAGCAGGGCAUAUAUUGUCUUCUCCAUUGAGAGGAAGUAUCAUUGUUGAACUUUUAAAUGAAAUUGAAUAUGCAGCAAAAGAAUGCUGCAACAAGGACAGUGUUUUGGCCCAAAAGGAUUUCUGUGACCUGGCUGAAUUUAAAUGGCAUGAACUCAUUGAUGAAUUAUUAGAGCAACAGCCAUUGCUAGCUGAUGUUCUCUUGGCUGUGUCUCUACCAACUUCUAAGAUAGGGAAUACAAAAUCUGUUCAGAGCCUUAUACCGGUCAUAUCUACUGUGUUUGGAAUGUUGAUGAAAACACGAUACCAGGAGUUGUCGUUAGUUCAAAAGAUGAUCGCAAUGACUUUAGCUAAUGAACAAACAAGCCAAAAAGUACAAUUUGUUUCA